GUAGGUGGCAAGCGUUGUCCGGAAUUAUUGGGCGUAAAGCGCGCGCAGGCGGUUCUUUAAGUCUGAUGUGAAAGCCCACGGCUCAACCGUGGAGGGUCAUUGGAAACUGGAGAACUUGAGUACAGAAGAGGAAAGCGGAAUUCCACGUGUAGCGGUGAAAUGCGAAGAGAUGUGGAGGAACACCAGUGGCGAAGGCGGCUUGCUGGUCUGUAACUGACGCUGAGGCGCGAAAGCGUGGGGAGCAAACAGGAUUAGAUACCCUGGUAGUCCACGCCGUAAACGAUGAGUGCUAAGUGUUAGGGGGGUUUCCGCCCCCCUUAGUGCUGCAGCUAACGCAUUAAGCACUCCGCCUGGGAGUACGGCCGCAAGGCUG
rnacentral:rRNA from 1 species